GUGGUGCAGUCAAACUGGAUCCAAUCUCCAUGGGCCAAGCCAAAAAAAAAAAAAAACAAUGUCACCUCCCUUCCAAUGGAGAAAUGAAUCAAUUCGUUCCAGUUCCUGAUUCGAUCAUCAAACACAAGAAAGAUUGAAACUUUGUGUGUUUUAAAGGCAAACAAGACAACCCAUUUUGAGAAUCAGAGUUAUCAUCAUGUCAACAGAACCUCCUCCUUUUCAAGAAGCAGCGCGAUGUGUUGUUUGCAGUUGCAGCUUCAACACCUUCAGGAGACGGCAUCAUUGUCGAUCCUGUGGGAGAACAUUGUGCAAUGAACAUUCAUCUGAUCAGAUGGCUUUACCACAAUUUGGCCUGUACUCAAAUGUCCGAGUGUGUGCUGAUUGUUUCAACAAUUCACGAUCUCAGGAGGUACCACAUGCUUCUUCGGAUGGAGUAAACAACAUAACAGACACAAUUUCUAAAUUAGACAUUGAUGGCAAUGUUGAUUCAAAAACACUACCAAGUGCAGAUAAUAACCCUGUGUCAGGCAUUAAAGAGUGUAAGUGUGGAAUGCCUCUUUGCAUUUGUGAAGCUCCUGCCCCUUCUUCUGAUGCACUCCCUCAGCAGAAGAAAAUCUCUCCAGCCAUGACAGCUUCAUCAAAUCCUAAACCUAGGAAGACAGAUACUGUUUCAAAAAAUAGAAGCUCCAGCUCCACUAACAAGUUCAGUUCUCCAUUUAACCUUGGUCAUGUAACUAAUGUUGCCUCAGCCAGACCCCAGACUGAUUAUGAAGUUAGUGGAGAGGGUCUACGAGAAGCAAUAAAAAAUGGUGACAUUGCUGCUGUCAAGAAACUUCUUAAUGAGGGUGUGGAUGCAAAUUACAGGGACAAGCAAGGACUGUCUUUAUUGCAUUUGGUACCUUUCUCACACCUGUGGCUGUUUGUGCUCAGGCUGCAGUGUUCAAUCAAACUGAUAUAGUUUUCAUCCUCAUGGAUUCAGGGGCAAGCCUGAAGUACAAAAAUGCACAAGGAGAAACACCUUUAGAUUGUGCUCCAGCUACACUGCAAUACAAAAUGCGAAAGAAGAUGGAAGAAGGUGGAGUAAUGGACAAAAACACUUGAAUAAUCUAGAACUGGGGUGCCCCAAAGAGAGCUUCAAACACUUCCAUAGGCUAAAUUCUAAAAGGUGAAAGAACUAUGUAAGACACAUCUUUGUGACUUGUCAGCUACAAAAGUGAGGCACUAUCCAUAAUGUAAAUUUAUUUGGUGUAUGACAUAAGAGAGCAUUUUUGAGCAUACAUCUCUGUUGUUGCCCUGAGCUA